AAAAACAAGAAAGAAAAACCUCACAACGUGACAACAACAGAAGCCCAACCCCGACUCGGGAGCGCCGCGCUUCGGGGUUCGGCGCGUCCAGGGCCGCGGCGGACCAGCUGCAGAGCUGCAGUCGGCACCAGCUCUCCCCGCUCGCACACGCCAACUGUUUUGACUACAGGCACUUGUUAAACACGGAGUUUCAGGUCCUACCAGUUGGACACCAGAAGUUCAUGGAACUGACCCCGUGCCAAGAACAACAAGCACAGAAAGCGAAACGGCCGCCUCGUGCGCCGUGUUUUUGUUAACUGUUUAUGCCAGCCCCAGAGCCAUUGGGUAACCAGCAAGCAUCCAGCAGCCCUCAGAUAACAAAAGCGAAAGAUGACCACCACCUUGGAAGAAAGGUGGAUGUUGGCAGAUUAAAGGGACACGGCAGUUCACAGACUGCAAACGCCUCGUGCCAAAGGGUUCCUCUCCACUCCAGCAGCUUCGGACAUCUGCACACCAGAGUUCUGAUUCAAUGGAAAGGAACCUUCUCUGCCCAGUCUGCUCCCGUGCCUUUCACUUGAUUAGUUCACCCACGUGCUGACCCCUGGCUCCUCACCUAAUCCUGGCCUAAGAAGCCGGCACAGAGUGGCCCUGCAGGCCUGCCAAGCGGUACAUGAGGUAGCCUGCGUCUCCAGGGCAGCGACAACACAACAGCCCUCUCAUCACCACCAUCACCACCGUGGCCACACCCCACAAAUAUGACCCACCGAAGAGAAUUUCCAAGUCCCUCAAAGUGACCUUCAAGGGCAUCUCGAAUACAAAGAGGGGGAAGGUUCUAAAACCAGCAAGGAAAAAAAUCCUGCCGAAGCGCUGAGCAGUGGGGCCAUGAGCCUGGACGCACUGCCGACCGCUGAUUUAACGGCUAACCGCUCCAUGGCCCUAGCAGAAUGGCAGCGGGCAAAGUCGCUGUGAAGCCACUUACUCCUCUGUCUCAUCUUUCUCACUUAUUUUAAAUUAGUUUUAUUUUGCUCUGUUGUUUGCCACCUUAUAAUCAGCCUUAAAUCCUUCUGCAACGAGCCUGAGUAUAAAUAAAGAAAGCGAAGGAACAAAAAAACAUGGCUGCAUUGUCAGCACUGCUGGACUGAGCAUGAAAUGUUUCAGCUCCAAUCUAAGAGGAAGGAGGUGCUCUGUCAAAGUGGGAAUGGAGGAGGGGGAGGGGGAGAAAGUGGAGAAGGCUGGCCCCGGGCCCUGGAGCCUGGGUCAUGCCCUGUCUCUGCAUUAAGGAGUCACAGGGCCUCAUGCAAUUUACUAACAUCUCGGGCCUCAGUGUCCCUGUCAUUAAAAC